rnacentral:rRNA from 1 species
UACGUAGGGGGCUAGCGUUGUCCGGAAUCAUUGGGCGUAAAGCGCGUGUAGGCGGCCCGGUAAGUCCGCUGUGAAAGUCGGGGGCUCAACCCUCGGAUGCCGGUGGAUACUGUCGGGCUAGAGUACGGAAGAGGCGAGUGGAAUUCCUGGUGUAGCGGUGAAAUGCGCAGAUAUCGUGAGGAAGACCAGUGGCGAAGGCGGAUCUCUGGACAGUUCCUGACGCUGAGGCGCGAAGGCCAGGGGAGCAAACGGG